AUCCGGAUGAUGAGUCCCAAAUAGGAUGAAAUGCGUGUUGUCCUGGAU
rnacentral:hammerhead_ribozyme from 1 species